UCCUACGGGGGGCAGCAGUAGGGAAUCUUCCACAAUGGACGAAAGUCUGAUGGAGCAACGCCGCGUGAGUGAAGAAGGGUUUCGGCUCGGAAAGCUCUGUUGGGAGUGAAGAAAGAUAGAGGUAGUAAAUGGACUUUAUUUUACGGUAAUUACUUAGAAAGUCACGGCUAAAUACGUGCCAGCAGCCGCGGUAAUACGUAGGGGGCAAGAGUUGUCCGGAUUUAUUGGGGGUAAAGCGAGUGCAGGCGGUUCAAUAA
rnacentral:rRNA from 1 species